GCCCGCGUUGUCUAAUGGCUAUGACGUCAGACUUCUACAUCUCGGUCUGAGUGUAUCUGGAGGUUGCGGGUUCGAGUCCCGCCGUGGGUU